UUUCAUAAGCUCUUAGCUUUUUAAUAUGAGAGCCUUUUAUUUCUAUAAAACUGCAGCUGCUUUCAUUUAGUUUUAUGGAUUUAAUGUAUUUAGAGGUUCCAAGAGAAGCUUGGAGCUGGCGGUAUUAUCCAGACAUUUGCUGCUUAGUGCCUUUUCUAAUGACAAGACUUAUCUGAUUCAGAACAUUUCAUAUCUGUAGCAAAAUUAAUUCUCUCUCCUUUUGUCUUUAGGCCUCAAGAUUUAAUUUGUUCAGGGGAUUCUUUCAAGCAAUUUUUUUUUCCCCUGUGCAGAUACCCUGAUGACUUACUUCCAGUGCUGAAGUUGUUCUUCAUGCUGGCAUUUUAUUCUGAAGCAUUUGCAACUUGGUACUUAUGUGCCUUCCCAUCACCACAGCAUCUGAUCUGCUCUCAGGAUUUAAUGUAUUUUGUCCUCCUGCUCUGUGAGGCAGAGGUAGCCGCUCUCUCCAUUUUACACACAUGGAAAUUAAGCAAAAAGAGAACCAGAGCUUGUAUCUGCAAUGGGCCCAUAUUGAUUUCAAUAUGAGUCACCCAUCUCAAAUACUCUUCUAAGUGUAACACAAAGUUGUUCAGUCUAGGCUGAACAGGAAGUUUUCUGGAGGAGUGGAAGUGAACUUGGGCAUGAUACUAAGGUCACCAUUCUUUCUGUGGCAUGUGAAGCAGCCUAUCAGCAUUCAAAAAGCCCAUGAUCUUUUUGUGCGUUGGACCAUUAGACAAGUAUAUUCACUUAAGACUCCUUUGUCUUCUCAUCAGACUAACCCAAGGACAGCAGCAGGAUGCUAAGGCAUGGACCAAGAUUUUGCAAUUACUGAAACACCAAUUUAGUUAUCACGUGCUAUUACUCUGUCACCUCUGUUGCACAAGAGAAACUGCACCUGUUCAGAGGCAUGGUUAUUAUCCAUAUCUAUUUUCUCUAUUUCAUCUUGCUGCUUUUUGUCCUCUGCAAUAACUCCCGAGGACCUUUAGAAGGCCUCAUACUAGCCUUCUCCUUCACCCUAUCUAUUAACCUGAUCAGCAAUGAAAAAGUUCAUUGCAAUAUUCAUACAUCAUUUUUAGGCUUUAUUGUUAAUAUCAUUUAAUACAUUUAUGGGCAAUUUACACCUUAUAGAAGCACCAUUUCUAAUCACUUAGGACAGUUCACUUUCUUAAACUCUUCCUGCAAUUUUCUUGCAACAUUAAGGACUAGACCACUGAUCCCUAAUGUACCAUUUUCACAUAUUUAUUUUUGUCUGUUUAAAAGCAAACAAAUAAAACCAAAACACCAUUCACACAUUUGAACAUUGCUGGUUUUGAAAUCUAAGUCUGAAAAUGUGUAUAUUAAAAGUCAAUUAUUAAAUCGGUUGUAAUUGGAUCUGAAUUUAAAUUUUUGAAAUUGUGAAAUAGCUGCAAGGACAAUAUUAAAUAAAUAAGAAAUGAACUUUAGGGUCAGAAGACAAAGUUUCUCCAAAGUCAUCAAAACUUUUAAGUUUGUCUUUCAGGUGCUUUUCAUAAAAAUAGGAACCAUGAAGAAAUCUGAAUUUGAGGUGACUGGGAAUUGGACUGGGUCUAGAGAUCAGAACACAAAAAACAAUUGCAGCAGCAAAAUAAAAGUCAGUGCUUUCCCCACCCCCACGAAGACUUCUAGAAAGUAAAAAUUUGAAAUAUUGAGAACACAAGACUCACUGACAAGGAAAGACAUUCUCAUGCUUUUGCUUCCAUUUGUUCAAAGAUCUGGGGGGGGAAGACCAAACUCCCUAUGUCAAAAACGUGCCAUUCCUAUCCUUUUAGAAGCUCAUGUUUAUAAGGCAUUUCAAUAAAGUGAAAACGAUUUGCUGCUUUGCUAAAGUACAAAGCCACAAAAAAUACCUUCAUGUUUACAUACCAUAAGGCAGCCAAAGGGCACCCCUCAAACCCUACUAAAUGCAUUCCCAUGCACCUACUUUCAAGAAUUUUGAUGGAAAAGCUUGUAAAAGCUUGUGUUUUAUCAACUGAUGGGGCAGGCGUGUGGCACCAUUCCUGAAACAGGGGAAAAGACAAAGGAUAGUAAGUAUGAGACUGUCUAUGUAUUUCUCAUCUGAGUCCCACAAGACUAUUAAAUAUUAAAUACGUGUGUUAGAUGCCUCACUGACCACUGAAGAAAGAUUGUGCUAGGCACUGCACAGGAGCAGACAGCAUCUUGAAGAGCUUACAACCCAAAAGGUGAGACAGCAAAUGGAGGUGACAGCAAAAAGGAGGUGACAGCAAGCUGCUUUUCAAGGAUCACUGCAAAAUGAUCAAGCAAAAAACGAAGUGGAAGCAAACCCCAACUUUUCAGCCCAAAGUUGAGUGAGGUGCAUAGGGAGGGCAUAGGCCCUCUAGCACCUCUACGUACAGACACCUUCCCUGCACACACAAGUUUGGAGAGAAAUUGUGGAGGGAAGGGCUUCUCCAAGGAGUCUGGAGAGAUGGGCGGCAGAGGGCACCUCAGGAUGAGACACACAAGAGUCCACCCUGGGAACCCGCAGCUCAAACUGAACAAUGUCUCUUCAGGCUAGCGCUUCACAGUUCCCAUGCGGGGUUCAGAGGAGGGGGAGUUUGCUAUCUCAGGGAGGAGGCAACAGAGCUGGGAUGGGGCAGGGGGGGCACAGCAGUGGAUGUUUGUACACAUCACAGCUCUCCUAGAAACUCAUUCUCCCUGGUUUAAUUCUCCAACAGAGCCACAGACAGAGCUGAACGCCAUACGCUCCAUUUCAUAUCCCUUCCCUUAUAAACGUUUAUUAAGGCUUUAUGUUACACAACUAUCACCGAUACAAAACAUUUAGGCUUCCAGGAGACCGAGUGCAUUAAAACUCCUUGCGUGGAAUGGCAGGAACCAAUUCCUCAUUUUUACUGGCUGGGAACUGAACCUUAAUAGGCCACAGAGCACAAAACUCAUAAACCAUUGGAGUAAGGGGAGGAGGAGAGAGGUGGAAUAAGGAGAGAGGAAGGGGAGAAGUUUGUUGCUGAGGUUAAGAAAUUAUAACAGAACAAACCAAAAUAUAUUGAUCAGGCCACAGUGAGGAAUUCUCCCUACCCAUGGCAGAGUUAACCUUGCCACUGAUGUCCAGCAGCUGGAGAGGACACAAAUAAAGCAGGACCCUGCUUUUAACAAAAUGAAGUGUUGUUCCUUGGCACUGGAAUAGCAGCAAUCCUCAUCUCCAGCUCUGGUGCCCCUCAGGAGAGUUUGGGGAUUGAUAGCUCAGGCAUGGAUGGCCUUUGCCUAGCAACCACCAAAAAGUCUGUCUGUCAGCCUGGUCUACAGUCACUUCAUCCUGCCUUUCCUCUGCUCCAAGCACACAGCAGGGUCUCCAAGCUCAUUUGUCAGACUUCAGCUCCAUCCACCUCUAAGCCCAUCUAAAAAGAGUGCUCUCCUUGUACCAACUGCAGGUAGCAAGAUGGUUUGGACCUUUGUGUAUUUAAUCCCGUUCCCCUUCGUCUUAUUCUGCUGUUGCAGCCCCUCAUUGGGAAGCUCUCAGAGGAGGGACUACCUGCUCUGAGGAGAUGGUUAACCCAACAGACUUACCUAGGAGGAAGAAUUAAGCAGUUCUGUAGCCACACAUCUCUUUCUCUCUGCCUGGCUGUGAUGUUAAAAUACCUGUUUCUGCUGAUGAGAACACUUUGGGUGCAAGGAUGCUUUUAAAACAGGAUGUGGGACAAAGCAAAAAAAAAAGAAACCCACCAAAAAAUAGAAAACCAAAACCAGCCAAAAACUUACAACAUCUGUAAGCUAAUUUCUAAAGGCUGCUUUCCCUAGCAAAUAUCAGGCUCUCUAAAUGCACACACAAUUCUUCAGAUUGGAGAGGAAAAGUCAAUUCCACAACUCAGAACACCUCCCAGAUGACUUAAAUUCUGCAACCAUUUAUUUUGCUGCAGCAAGUUACUGCUAGGAUCCCCCCUAUGCUGUGUCACUGGGCCACCUGAGCCAGGAAUGGUUUGACUUCCUGGAAUAGUGAGAAGUCACUUUACUCUCCCACCCAAGAAGAGGAACUUUUUAGGAAAUUAUACAAGCUGAAAUGUGCAAGCCAGAACUGGUAAAUGCAAUUGUGCUCCUGUCAGAGUCAGAAGAAGUGGCUGCUCUCCAAAAUCUGGAGCAAGUUAGUCCCUACAUCAGGGUUUCUUCAAGUCAGAACAGAAGAUAAUCACCAUUCUGGGCACAAGAGGGAUAUUUACUUAAUGUGUUCUGACUUUGGACAUGGAAAAUUAUAAGAUACAUGGCAAAAGUUACCUUCCAGAGCUUAAAGUUAUCAUAAUGUCAUUCUUCUAAUUACAAAUCAGACUCUUAAUACCAAAGGCCAAAAGGAGCCUAGUUCCAGAGGUAAGAGCAGUAUUAGCUAAAAUUACUUUGGAAGCUCCCUGGUAUCACAUCACAGCGCACCAUGAGGAAUCUUCUCCCCUCUCCAAUGGGUGCCUCUUUUCUUGGGAAAUUGCAGCCACAACCCAGUCUAAGCACAGGGCUACGAGAUGCUUGAUUCAGCCAUGAUUAUCCUGGACCAGCAUUGGCAAGGCUGAGACAGAUGGCUGGUUAUUCUCACUCUUGCUAGGGCAGAACCAACGUUUCUCAUUGAAAAGCUUUUCUCUUAAAAAAAGGUGGAAGAGACAAUAGUUUUUUUAACAUUUUUAAUGACAUCGAAUUCAAUUGAAAUGAGCUACUUUGUCAUCAUGGCUUGUUAUCGAUUGCAAGCUGAACAUCCUCAGGAAAACUGGGACAAGCAGGAGUAAAUCUUACAUAAAAAGCACAGUUCUAUUGAUCACAGCAGCCGCCACUGGCCCUCCACUGAAGCAACAACUAGCUACUUUAAUAAAAAUGUAAUUCUCCAAUAGAGAGGAAUCCAUCUGCCUUCCAAACCACUCUGCAUCAUACGCUUCCAAAUGCUCUUGAGAGAGAAAGCAGACCAGUUCAUCCCCCUGACAAAACACUAUUACUAUGCAGUGACACCAUCACACUUGAUUUAAAUACAUCUGGCAUUUUCAGGUGUAAUGCCUGAAGCAAUAAUACUAAAAAACCAGAACAACCUUAGUUACACCCUUAGGGAAUUGCACAUGUGUGAACUAAGUAACUUAUAGAAUUCCUAUUUCCAUAGUAUCAAUCUCUUUACAUUCUGAAAUGUAUUUAUCCUCCUACUGCUCAGGGGAAGAAGUGAUCAUUGCUGCUCCUAUUGCUUUUCCAAUGCUUUCUCAGAUCUUCAUUUCCUAUGGCAUGGUAUUUGGAGACCUGAAUCUUGGUGUGGGCUUGAGGCCUGGUCAUGGUCAUGCAGGAAGACAGUGUGUCACUAUAGGACACGAGAAAGCACAAUGUGAGCCACCUGCCACUUUGCAAGGUAAAAGAGAGAGUUUAUUUUCUGACUCCAACUUUUAUAUUUUUCUAAAGGUGACAGUGGAUUGGAGAGUGAAUGGGCCACCUCUCCAAAGACAUCGGAUAAACCACUAGUAUAUCAAGUCUCUCCACUCUUAUGAAGGAAUGCAAAACAACAUGUUAUUUAUAGAAACCGUGUGGGAAAGUUUCCCAAUAGAAUGUAAACUCAGAAGGCUUUAGAAAAACUCAAGAAUCAGGGCGACAACAGUGCUGUGUCAGAAAUCUGGCGUUGACACCAGCCACAGAUCGGACCCCAGGCUCUGCUGGGAGCCAUUUGGCCAAACUGGCUGUGAUAAUUAUGGCAGGUGUCCCUGAGGAUGUAUUGGGACUUCUAUCUCCAUUUAUACCACUAGGAAGCCAUAUCUGGCUCCAAAGAGACUGCUGUAGAUAUUUCCCUUGCCACCACCCACAGUGCCACAUCAACAUGUGCUUUUAAGCUAGGCAUGGGGAAAAGGAGGCCCAGAGCCCCCCAUUCUUUUACUGAGCCCCAUGAGAAGUCCCUCCCCUCUGUCACAAGCGGGAUCCUUGCACAACAAAGGACACGUAGCUCCUGUGUGGCCAUGUGAUUCUGGGGACUACAGGGCCUCUGCUCAGCAAGCUGAGAAGUUAAUAGAAGGAAAACAAAUCCCCCUUAUUUGCCUCAGGGUUAAGGGUCAGUGUAAGUAAAUCAUUAAUUAACAGGCUGGCACCUCAGUGCUAUUGACAGGGUUUUGUGUACACAGUGGGACUGUGGCACCCCCUGCAAUUAAGCAGGCAGUGAACUUUUCUCCUUCUGCUGCCUCCCACUCAGCUUGAGCAGGCUCACUCUCCCCUGUCCUCAACAGAGGCUCCUCUUUAUUCUUCCUCUUAGCACAGGUUACCAGCUGCCCCUGUGCUUAUUUUUUUUGCCUGUCCAGCCCAGCUGCCUUCAGAAACCAAGUUCCCUUAUUUUUUUUCUUUCCAACUUCAUGCAAUACCUGCUCCUUUAAAAAACCUCACUGGCUAUGCGUCCGUCAACUUAGGCAUUUAUUUCAGCCCCCUGCUCAGGUAAAGAUGCACUUACAGACUCAAAAGGGCUUACAGGUACAUGGUGAUAACUCUUCAGCCUUAAGACACUAUAUUGUCUCAGAGGAAAAAAAAAAAUCUUCAGCUCUCAGCCCUAGAUUUAAAUAAAAAUUUGGGAUCCUAAUACGUUACUAAUAACACCUGGAUUUCUUUUUUUUUCCCCCCUUCUAAUCAAAACGGGUCUGUUGACAACCUGAUUUCUAUACCAGAUGGGAAAUUGCCACAUAAAGAGCAGUCAUUUCAGAAACUCCACAGUCACAGAUCCUCUUAACAAUCAGGCCUAGAGUGUCAGAGGAGCUCCUAAGAAAUUUGUUACACCAUUUUCUUUGCAGGGGAGUCUGCUUUCUUUUGGUUGCUUUGGGUUUCAGAAAGGUCUUGGCCUGCAGGCUUAAGGUCUGAGGUUGAUAUCAAUGACCAGCUGCCUCAGAGCUACAUCGUGCUGAGAUUAACACUGGCUUUGGAGCUGAGCUUAGAAUCCCAGGGAACUCCAGCUGGAAACCCAAGAUCAAGGUUCAUCAUUCUCAAACCCAAAAUUGAACAUCCCAUCGGUGUGAUGUGAAGGGACAGCCUGAAGUCUGCCAGUUCCCAAACUACAAAUCAGAGACUGCCCUGGCAGAAACUUAAUGUAUAUUUAUGUGGCUCAUAAUUAAAGCCUGUUACAGAUGCUCUGAUCCACUCAAACUUUUGAAAUAAAAGCAUCUGAACAGACAACUUUCUCUACUCCUGAAGCA
rnacentral:lncRNA from 1 species